CAGCUCUAGAUUUUGAUCCUGGCUCAGGAUGAACGCUGGCGGCGUGCUUAACACAUGCAAGUCGAACGAUGAAGCCCAGCUUGCUGGGUGGAUUAGUGGCGAACGGGUGAGUAACACGUGAGUAACCUGCCCUUAACUCUGGGAUAAGCCUGGGAAACUGGGUCUAAUACCGGAUAGGAGCGUCCACCGCAUGGUGGGUGUUGGAAAGAUUUAUCGGUUUUGGAUGGACUCGCGGCCUAUCAGCUUGUUGGUGAGGUAAUGGCUCACCAAGGCGACGACGGGUAGCCGGCCUGAGAGGGUGACCGGCCACACUGGGACUGAGACACGGCCCAGACUCCUACGGGAGGCAGCAGUGGGGAAUAUUGCACAAUGGGCGCAAGCCUGAUGCAGCGACGCCGCGUGAGGGAUGACGGCCUUCGGGUUGUAAACCUCUUUCAGUAGGGAAGAAGCGAAAGUGACGGUACCUGCAGAAGAAGCACCGGCUAACUACGUGCCAGCAGCCGCGGUAAUACGUAGGGUGCGAGCGUUAUCCGGAAUUAUUGGGCGUAAAGAGCUCGUAGGCGGUUUGUCGCGUCUGUCGUGAAAGUCCGGGGCUUAACCCCGGAUCUGCGGUGGGUACGGGCAGACUAGAGUGCAGUAGGGGAGACUGGAAUUCCUGGUGUAGCGGUGGAAUGCGCAGAUAUCAGGAGGAACACCGAUGGCGAAGGCAGGUCUCUGGGCUGUAACUGACGCUGAGGAGCGAAAGCAUGGGGAGCGAACAGGAUUAGAUACCCUGGUAGUCCAUGCCGUAAACGUUGGGCACUAGGUGUGGGGACCAUUCCACGGUUUCCGCGCCGCAGCUAACGCAUAA
rnacentral:rRNA from 1 species